AUGUCCAAGAAUAGCUUUACUGGAUCGAUCCCAGGAACGUUCAGCAACUUAACAUCAAUGAUGAAACAACCAAAACAAGUUUUCUCCAGCAAAAAAGUAGAAUCUUCUGGAAGGCAUGAUUUUGUCCAAGUGAGACGGAUUUCCACAUUUUCUUGGAGGAUAGUGCUAGCCAAUAACCCAUCGCCGCUGGAUAAGUACCGAGACAGAGUUAACAUUUUCUGGAAGGGCCGUGAACAAACUUUCCAGAAAACAAUCAGAAUACCAGGUAGUAUUCCAGAAAGCAUUAGCGGUUUGGAGCUAUUGGAGUCCCUUGACCUCUCAUGGAAUGAACUUUCAGGUGCUAUCCCUCCUACCAUUUCAAAAUUGAAGUCGCUUGGCGUGUUAAAUCUGUCCAACAAUCUCUUAAGGGGCGUCAUACCCACUGGAAGUCAGAUGCAGACAUUUGUAGACGAAUCAAUUUAUGGCAACAAUCCGGGGCUUUGUGGCUUCCCGUUGAGCACAGCUUGUUCGGAUGAGGGAACUGAAGACCACCAAGAACUUGGAGGAGAUAUGUGGUUGUGGUACUCUAUAAUCCUUGGCAUCGUUUUCGGUUUUUGGUCCUGGUUUGGAGCUCUGUUUUUCCUCAGGCCAUGGAGGUUUUCCUUCCUCCGAUUUCUUGAUAAGUUAGGCAGUAAGUGA
rnacentral:rRNA from 1 species